rnacentral:sRNA from 1 species
GCAGAGCUUGGGGCUGCCUUGGUCGCACCCACCACCUGCCUGCCCACUGGUCAGCCUUCAGGGAACCUGAGCACCGCCUGGUCUCUUUCCUGUGGCCAGCCCAGAGCUGAAGCGCUGCGGCAUGGCGCGCGCCUGCCUCCAGGCCGUCAAGUACCUCAUGUUCGCCUUCAACCUGCUCUUCUGGUUCUUCCUGCUGCUGCUGCUGGUGUUCCUGCUGGAGGCCACCAUCGCCAUCCUCUUCUUCGCCUACACGGACAAGGUACGGCUGCCUUGGCCGCAGGCCCAACUGCAGGGCUGGGGGCUCCAUCCUCACUCCCAGGGAGCACUGUGGGCCCAGUGUGGACAGAGUGGCCCUGCAUGUGCCCUCAUGGGCGGGCAGGACAGCGGGUGUGGAUUUACCAGGCCUGGAGGGGCAGCGCCGGCGACCCUGGGAGGCUGUGCUGUGGCUCUGCAGUGACUGGGGCACAAGGGCACUGCUACCCCACCCGGAGGGUGCGCCCCAGGUUGUCCCCCGCCCUCUGACGCAGCGUCCUGAGCCGUCUGCUCCCAGCGCCCCAUCCGGGCUGCGCACCGUGGGGUUCUGCUCUGUAGAGCGGCCUCUUCUUGGUCACUCACUUAUAUAUUCAGCCAUUUGUUUAUAUUGGGAUGAAGUCCUGGCUAUUGAGGCUGCACUCCGAGCUAGAACACAACACUACUUUGUUUUGUGAAUCACACUGUCCGUCCUUGGCCCUGGGGAGCUUCUGCCGUCUGCUGCUGGGUCCCCUGACGUGCCCCCAUCAACAGACUUUUCAUUUUGGGGCACGUCCUGACUUCCUGGCACUGCAGGGUGCUCCAGGCUCCUUCACUCCCUGCCCUGGCCCAGGAAUCAGCCCCUUCUCCAGGGUGCUCUGGGUCCUCACUGAAUAUUGGGGACCGAGACCAGGGUGCUGGGUGGGCUCAGCGCUCAUAGCCCCUGGCUUUCAGCUCACAGAGCAUGGCUGCAUGUGUCCCGAUGCAUGGAGGCACCUGUGUCCCUGUCCUCUGUCCCCCCAGGACCCAUGGUCCUCCCCCAGCCUGGGGAGGAAGCCCAGAGGUGGGGGCCCUGGGCCUCAGGGCUGCUGGGAGGACAUGGGGCCAGUGUGUCUGCAGCUUGGUGGGCUGGGAGGCGCGGGGGACACUUCAAGACCAGGCACAGGAGGGGCCCAGCUUAGGGGCCGGCGAGGGGGUCUGGAUGAGGGAGGCGGGGUACAGUGGGAGGGGCCCUGCUGACCCCCGCCGCACCCCCAGAUUGACAGGUAUGCCCAGCGAGACCUGAAGAAAGGCUUGCACCUGUACGGCACGCAGGGCAACGUGGGCCUCACCAACGCCUGGAGCAUCAUCCAGACCGACGUGAGGCGUGGGCAGGUGGGCGGGGUCGGCGGGUGCCCCCUCCCCUCCUGCCUCAGCCCGACCUGAGCUUGCCCCCCAGUUCCGCUGCUGUGGCGUCUCCAACUACACUGACUGGUUCGAGGUGUACAACGCCACGCGGGUACCUGACUCCUGCUGCUUGGAGUUCAGUGAGAGCUGUGGGCUGCACGCCCCCGGCACCUGGUGGAAGGCGCCGUGCUACGAGACGGUGAAGGUGUGGCUUCAGGAGAACCUGCUGGCUGUGGGCAUCUUUGGGCUGUGCACGGCGCUGGUGCAGAUCCUGGGCCUGACCUUCGCCAUGACCAUGUACUGCCAAGUGGUCAAAGCAGACACCUACUGCGCGUAGGCCGCCCACCGCCCGCUUCUCUGCCAAAAGGACGCCCACGGGGAGAUGGCCGCACCCACAGCUGCCUUUCCCACCACCAGCCUCGGUGCUCUGCCCCAUGCUGGGAGGAGGGAGGGAGGGACAGGUGCCUGGAGCCCCCGGAACCCUGUUUCUGGAAGGCCCUGGCUCAGGUGGCUUCAGGGCCUCCGGACCCCCCCCCCCGGGAGGGGUGGCCACGUGCUCGCUGCGGAACCCAGGGCAGGGGUGGGAGGGGCCUCCAGCACUUUUUAUAUUUACGUAUUCUCCAAAGCAGUGUUCACACGGGAGCCAGCCUGUGGCCCCCAGCCUCCUGGGAAACGGGUUGGUGCUGGAGGAGCCGGGUCUUGGCAUCCUGGAGGUGGCCCCACUGGUCCUGGUGCUCCAGGCGGGGCCGUGGACCCCUCACCUACAUUCCAUAGUGGGCCCGUGGGGCUCCUGGUGCAUCUUAAUAAAGUGUGAGCAGC